rnacentral:lncRNA from 1 species
CCUAAUCUCUUCUUCUCAGAUCCCCAUGAAUAAGGACAGGCCUGGAGGGCAGGGCUCUGGCAAUUUCCCUAAGAGAUACAGAGUCCCAGAGUUCUGUUUGGUUUCUAGGUUGUGACCCUAUUCCCCGAUUGUACCGAAACCCGUUGUCUCCUCAGAUGAAAUUAGUCCCGCCCCAGUGACCUCACUUAACCUUAAUUACCUCUUUAAAGACCAUAUCUCCAAAUAUGGUCACAUUCUUCAGUACUGGGGGUUAGGAUUUCAGCGUGUGAAUUCUGUAGGAUGCAAUUCAACCUGGAACACCCCACAUCCAAUCUGUGAAUGAAUCCCAGCAGUUCCACCUUCACAACAUAUCGGGAACCCAGCCGCCUCUCCCCACCUUCCCUAUUGUCUUCCUGGUCUAAGCCAUUGCUGACUGCCAUCUGCACCAACCACACUUGCCUCCUAGCAGCCAACGGUGCCCCUGAAUUCCCUUCUCCAGGGUCUUGCUUUGUCACCCACUGGAGUGCAAUGGUGCAAUCUCAGGUCAUUGCAACCUCUGCCUCCUGGACUCAAGCGAUCCUCCCACCUCGGCCUCCAGAGAGCUGGGACCACAGGCACCGCC